GGACCCGGCCAGGAAGGAGACGAGGCCCCUUGGGGAGCUCACUCAGAGGACACAAAGCACAGAUGUGCCCCUCGCAGCCCCCCCAGUCCCAGAGAGACUGGGUGCACAGGUGCUUCAGGACCUGGCAGCAGGUCGUGCAGAGGGGCCCAGUGCCAGGGCCACCUGGCUGAAUGUCCUGUGAGGAUCCUGAGGAGGUGCCUGGGACAGUGGGUGCGUGCGGAUGAGGCAACUCCGAGCCUCAGAGGAGGCGAAGGUGACCCAGCUGUCCCUCUGGCGGCAGAGGAGGGGGACCUGGCCCUCUGGAGCUCAGCCCACGACGUGGAGACAGUGGCCUGGGUGUCCCUGCAUGGUGCCUGCUGGAGACUGGCCCUCCGCCG
ensembl:lncRNA